GAUGAACGCUGGCGGCGUGCUUAAUACAUGCAAGUCGAACGAGGAGUAGCAAUACUCCGAGUGGCGAACGGGUGAGUAACGCGUAGAUGACCUGCCUCGAAGCGUGGGAUACCAGUUCGAAAGGACCGCUAAUACCGCAUGAGAUCUGGGGGUUUAGAAGCCCCAGAAGAAAGCCGCAAGGCGCUUUGGGAGGGGUCUGCGUCCCAUCAGCUAGUUGGUGAGGUAACGGCUCACCAAGGCGACGACGGGUAGGGGGCCUGAGAGGGUGACCCCCCACACUGGCACUGAAACACGGGCCAGACACCUACGGGUGGCAGCAGUAGGGAAUAUUGCACAAUGGGCGCAAGCCUGAUGCAGCAACGCCGCGUGCACGAUGAAGGCCUUCGGGUCGUAAAGUGCUUUUCGGGGAGAUGAGGAAGGACAGUAUCCCCGGAAUAAGGAUCGGCUAACUACGUGCCAGCAGCCGCGGUAAAACGUAGGAUCCGAGCGUUAUCCGAAUUCACUGGGCGUAAAGCGCGUGCAGGCGGCUGGAUAAGUUGGAUGUGAAAUCUCCUGGCUCAACUGGGAGAGGUCGUUCAAGACUAUCCAGCUCGAGGGCAGUAGAGGGAGGUGGAAUUCCCGGUGUAGUGGUGAAAUGCGUAGAUAUCGGGAGGAACACCAGUGGCGAAAGCGGCCUCCUGGACUGCACCUGACGCUCAGACGCGAAAGCUAGGGGAGCGAACGGGAUUAGAAACCCCGGUAGUCCUAGCCGUAAACGAUGUAGACUGGGUGUGGGUGGGGUAAAAGCCAUCCGUGCCGAAGCCAACGCGAUAAGUCUACCGCCUGGGGACUACGGCCGCAAGGUUA
rnacentral:rRNA from 1 species